GUGGAUGAUCGGUAGCUUAUAGUUUGUGGCAUUAAACAGUGAGCAAGAGAGCUGAAUAAAUUUUCUUUUUUACUUAUUUGAUGAUUGCAUCUAGAUUCCUUGGACGAACCAAUCCGGACGAAGAAUGCCUUGUCUGGCUGCUCUGGCAAGUGCAUCCGCUUGAUGAUUGGUUGAGCGGUGAGUGUAGGCCACCGUGAUGAACGGGAAAAACGAGGCGACAUCCGUGAUCCGUCCUAGGUCCGCAAGGCAUUGCUAUGGCCAUCGAUGUUUAGGGUUGCGCGUAACCG
rnacentral:lncRNA from 1 species